GAACUCUUCGGGGUUAGUGGCGGACGGGUGAGUAACACGUGGGAACGUGCCUUUAGGUUCGGAAUAACUCAGGGAAACUUGUGCUAAUACCGAAUGUGCCCUUCGGGGGAAAGAUUUAUCGCCUUUAGAGCGGCCCGCGUCUGAUUAGCUAGUUGGUGAGGUAAAGGCUCACCAAGGCGACGAUCAGUAGCUGGUCUGAGAGGAUGAUCAGCCACAUUGGGACUGAGACACGGCCCAAACUCCUACGGGAGGCAGCAGUGGGGAAUCUUGCGCAAUGGGCGAAAGCCUGACGCAGCCAUGCCGCGUGAAUGAUGAAGGUCUUAGGAUUGUAAAAUUCUUUCACCGGGGACGAUAAUGACGGUACCCGGAGAAGAAGCCCCGGCUAACUUCGUGCCAGCAGCCGCGGUAAUACGAAGGGGGCUAGCGUUGCUCGGAAUUACUGGGCGUAAAGGGAGCGUAGGCGGACAUUUAAGUCAGGGGUGAAAUCCCGGGGCUCAACCUCGGAAUUGCCUUUGAUACUGGGUGUCUUGAGUAUGAGAGAGGUGUGUGGAACUCCGAGUGUAGAGGUGAAAUUCGUAGAUAUUCGGAAGAACACCAGUGGCGAAGGCGACACACUGGCUCAUUACUGACGCUGAGGCUCGAAAGCGUGGGGAGCAAACAGGAUUAGAUACCCUGGUAGUCCACGCCGUAAACGAUGAUUG
rnacentral:rRNA from 1 species